UCCGAGAUCUUGCCCAGGGCCCGGAGCUCAAUUCUGGAACAGGACAAAAAGGAAUCAAGAGAACUAUGAUCAGCAUUCUCCAGGGGUUCCAGGAACCCAGUUUCAAAGACAACAGCUUCAGGAUGAGACUCAGAUGAUGAUGAAUCAGUGGAGGACAGAACCACGCCCUGAGGAAGGCAGAACUGCACCUUGACCAGGACUGCUCAGACAUGCAUAUCUCAUCCCUCUAGGUAAACUUUGGUCUUCAGGACUUCAAAUAUGGACUUGGCAAAUUUGCGGGAUCUCUUUGUUCUCCUCAAACUUCACAAUGUGACCUGAAUAAAAUAAAUCUUUUUUUCUGCUUUC